rnacentral:rRNA from 1 species
CAGUAGCCGCGGGAAUACGUAGGGUGCAAGCGUUAAUCGGAAUUACUGGGCGUAAAGCGUGCGCAGGCGGUUCCAUAAGGCAGAUGUGAAAUCCCCGGGCUCAACCUGGGAACUGCAUUUGUGACUGUAGAGCUGGAGUGCGGCAGAGGGGGAUGGAAUUCCGCGUGUAGCAGUGAAAUGCGUAGAUAUGCGGAGGAACACCGAUGGCGAAGGCAAUCCCCUGGGCCUGCACUGACGCUCAUGCACGAAAGCGUGGGGAGCAAACAGGAUUAGAUACCCGCGUAGUCCCUGUCUCUUAUAC